rnacentral:rRNA from 1 species
CAUUUAGGAUUGAAGUUUUCGGAUGGAUUUCCUAUAUGACUGAGUGGCGGACGGGUGAGUAACGCGUGGGGAACCUGCCCUAUACAGGGGGAUAACAGCUGGAAACGGCUGCUAAUACCGCAUAAGCGCACAGAAUCGCAUGAUUCAGUGUGAAAAGCCCUGGCAGUAUAGGAUGGUCCCGCGUCUGAUUAGCUGGUUGGUGAGGUAACGGCUCACCAAGGCGACGAUCAGUAGCCGGCUUGAGAGAGUGAACGGCCACAUUGGGACUGAGACACGGCCCAAACUCCUACGGGAGGCAGCAGUGGGGAAUAUUGCACAAUGGGGGAAACCCUGAUGCAGCGACGCCGCGUGAGUGAAGAAGUAUUUCGGUAUGUAAAGCUCUAUCAGCAGGGAAGAAAACAGACGGUACCUGACUAAGAAGCCCCGGCUAACUACGUGCCAGCAGCCGCGGUAAUACGUAGGGGGCAAGCGUUAUCCGGAAUUACUGGGUGUAAAGGGUGCGUAGGUGGCAUGGUAAGUCAGAAGUGAAAGCCCGGGGCUUAACCCCGGGACUGCUUUUGAAACUGUCAUGCUGGAGUGCAGGAGAGGUAAGCGGAAUUCCUAGUGUAGCGGUGAAAUGCGUAGAUAUUAGGAGGAACACCAGUGGCGAAGGCGGCUUACUGGACUGUCACUGACACUGAUGCA